AGCAGCAGUGGGGAUAUUGCACAAUGGGGGAAACCCUGAUGCAGCCAUGCCGCGUGUGUGAAGAAGGCCUUCGGGUUGUAAAGCACUUUCAGUAGGGAGGAAAGGAUGUAGUUUAAUACGCUAUAUCUGUGACGUUACCUACAGAAGAAGGACCGGCUAACUCCGUGCCAGCAGCCGCGGUAAUACGGAGGGUCCGAGCGUUAAUCGGAAUUACUGGGCGUAAAGCGUGCGCAGGCGGUUUGUUAAGCGAGAUGUGAAAGCCCUGGGCUCAACCUAGGAAUAGCAUUUCGAACUGGCGAACUAGAGUCUUGUAGAGGGGGGUAGAAUUCCAGGUGUAGCGGUGAAAUGCGUAGAGAUCUGGAGGAAUACCGGUGGCGAAGGCGGCCCCCUGGACAAAGACUGACGCUCAUGCACGAAAGCGUGGGGAGCAAACAGGAUUAGAUACCCUGGUAGUCCACGCCGUAAACGAUGUCUACUCGGAGUUUGGUGUCUUGAACACUGGGCUCUCAAGCUAACGCAUUAAGUAGACCGCCUGGGGAGUACGGCCGCAAGGUUAAAACUCAAAUGAAUUGACGGGGCCCC
rnacentral:rRNA from 1 species